rnacentral:rRNA from 1 species
CCUGGUAGUACACGCCGUAAACGAUGAGCACUAGGUGUCGGGGGCCGCAAGGUUUCGGGCCGCAGUUAACGCAUUAAGUGCUCCGCCUGGGGAGUACGCACGCAAGUGUGAAACUCAAGGAAUUGACGGGGACCCGCACAAGCAGCGGAGCAUGUGGUUUAAUUCGAAGCAACGCGAAAACCUUACCAGGGCUUGACAUCCUUCUGACCGGAACUUAACCGUUCCUUUCUUCGGACAGAGUGACAGGUGGUGCAUGGUUGUCGUCAGCUCGUGUCGUGAGAUGUUGGGUUAAGUCCCGAACGAGCGCAACCCUUGUCGUUAGUUACUAACAUUCAGUUGAGGACUCUAAUGAGACUGCGUGGAUAACACGGAGGAAGGUGGGGAUGACGUCAAAUCAUCAUGCCCCUUAUGUCCUGGGUACACACGUGCUACAAUGGUCGGUACAAAGAGACGCGAGACAGCGAUGUGGAGCAAAUCUAAAAGCCGAUCCCAGUUCGGAUUGCAGGCUGCAACUCGCCUGCAUGAAGUCGGAGUUGCUGUAAUCGUGGAUCAGAAUGCCACGGUGAAUGCGUUCCCGGGUCUUGUACACACCGCCCGU